AUUAGUCAAAUGAUGCCAGUGCGCACAGUUAGCUUUACUUUUUCUUUCUUUCUUUCUUUCUAAUUAAUUAAUUUGAGCAGUUUCACUUAUAUGCAUGUACAAUAAGGUAUUGUACAUCAAUUUAGUUUGAGAUAAACAAAAUCGAACUGAGUAGUAAUGAGAUAAAAAUUACAACAAAAAAUACACCCUCCCCAAAGAAGCCCUAAAUAAUAUAUAAAAACAUCAUCAUAUGAAGAAAACAAGUUAAAUGUUAAGGAGAAGUUUACCUAGCUUUGGCAGUUUUAUUCACAACUUCAUUUAUAGACCCUAUAUAAACUGUCAAUCUGGUUGUCUUUACAAAGUUGCACAACCUGCUGUAAAUAGUUUCACUGCUCCUUUUGCCCUGUGAAAUUGUUCAAGCCAAGCAAUCAGAUGGAGGCAAUCAUAGAGAGGACUUUUGCUGUCCUACAGUGUGACAGGGCUUAUUAAAUAUGUCAUUUGUGUUGGAGGUCAUGACUCCAGAGAUGAGAAUGCACGCAGGCCAGCACUAUGAUCAUUGAGAGCUUUCAAGUGCUAUCUUGGAAUACAGAUUAAUAUAAUUAUCUGAACACACACUCCACCUUGCUCCCUUUGACACACACACAGAGAGAGAGAGAGAGAGAGAGAGAGAGACAGAGAGAGGGAGAGAAUGAACACCACAAAUAGGCAUCAAAUGUGCCAUACUCAUUCCUCCACACUCCCACUGCAGACUCCCGCUAAAGACCUAACAUAGCACGAUAGUUAAAAGACAGAUUUCCUUUUUGAAACUGAUUCAAACCCACGCCUGCCUUCAAAGUGUUCUGUUUAUGUAAAAUAAAAUAUUGAAUUUUGCAACCUGAAAUUGACUAAUUGAAUAUGAGCUGAAAUAACAACCUGAAGUUUUUCAAUAUUUGAAAACUGAAUCAUUAAAUCUGAAUUUGUGAACAAUGAAAAAAAAAAAAUUUGAAUAUACUUGAUUUUUUGAAAACCUGAAUUUUAAAAUGUG